GCGGGCGUAGUACAAUGGUAGUACGCUUGGUUUCCAACCAAGAUACGUGGGUUCGAUUCCCAUCGCCCGCUCCA
rnacentral:tRNA from 1 species